CGCAAGCCUGACGACGCAACGCCGCGUGGAGGAUGAAGAUCUUCGGGUCGUAAACUCCUUUCGAUCGAGACGAAUGGCCCUUGGGCUAAUCACCAGGGGAAUGACGGUACCGAGAGAAGAAGCCCCGGCUAACUCCGUGCCAGCAGCCGCGGUAAUACGGAGGAUGCAAGCGUUAUCCGGAUUUAUUGGGCGUAAAGCGUCCGCAGGUGGUGGUUCAAGUCGAUUGUCAAAGGCAGUAGCUUAACUACUGAGAGGCAGUGGAAACCGAAAGACUAGAGUGCGGUAGGGGUAGAGGGAAUUCCCGGUGUAGCGGUGAAAUGCGUAGAGAUCGGGAAGAACACCAGUGGCGAAAGCGCUCUGCUGGACCGGCACUGACACUGAGGGACGAAAGCUAGGGUAGCG
rnacentral:rRNA from 1 species